rnacentral:rRNA from 1 species
GAGUUUGAUCAUGGCUCAGGAUGAACGCUGGCGGCGUGCCUAACACAUGCAAGUCGAACGGAGUUCUUAAGGAAUGCGGCUUCGGCCAAAUGACUUUUGAACUUAGUGGCGGACGGGUGAGUAACGCGUGAGCAACCUGCCUUUCAGAGGGGGAUAACAUUUGGAAACAGAUGCUAAUACCGCAUAAGAUUACAGUACCGCAUGAUACAGUGAUCAAAGGAGCAAUCCGCUGAAAGAUGGGCUCGCGUCCGAUUAGAUAGUUGGUGAGGUAACGGCUCACCAAGUCGACGAUCGGUAGCCGGACUGAGAGGUUGAACGGCCACAUUGGGACUGAGACACGGCCCAGACUCCUACGGGAGGCAGCAGUGGGGAAUAUUGCACAAUGGCGAAAGCCUGAUGCAGCAACGCCGCGUGAGGGAAGACGGUUUCGGAUUGUAAACCUCUGUUUCGGUGACGAACAAAUGACGGUAACCGAGUAGGAAGCCACGGCUAACUACGUGCCAGCAGCCGACCG